UACGUAGGGUGCAAGCGUUGUCCGGAUUUAUUGGGCGUAAAGAGCGUGUAGGCGGCCAUGCAGGUCCGUUGUGAAAACUCGAGGCUCAACCUCGAGACGCCGAUGGAAACCAUCUGGCUAGAGUCCGGAAGAGGAGAGUGGAAUUCCUGGUGUAGCGGUGAAAUGCGCAGAUAUCAGGAAGAACACCCGUGGCUAAGGCGGGUCUCUAGUACGGUACUGACGCUGAGACGCGAAAGCGUGGGGAGCGAACAGG
rnacentral:rRNA from 1 species